rnacentral:tRNA from 1 species
AUCCCUGUGGCUCAGUUGGUAGAGCAUGGUGUUUGCAACGCCAUGGUUGUGGGUUCGAUUCCCACGGGGGGCC